UAUUAAAAAAUUUAUUUAUUUUUAUUGUUAAAAAUUAACUGAUUGAUAGAAUAAUUAAAUAGUUACACAUAGUGUGUUAUGUGCACGUCAUGCUGACAUACAUGAAUCGAUUUUUAAUAGUAAAAAUGGAUGAAGUUUUUAACA
rfam:Gossypium arboreum cultivar AKA8401 contig_294_11, whole genome shotgun sequence.